CUGGGCGUAAGCGUGCGUAGGCGGCUAAUUUGAGUCGGAUGUGAAAUCCCCGAGCUUAACUUGGGAAUUGCAUUCGAUACUGGUUAGCUAGAGUGUGGGAGAGGAUGGUAGAAUUCCAGGUGUAGCGGUGAAAUGCGUAGAGAUCUGGAGGAAUACCGAUGGCGAAGGCAGCCAUCUGGCCUAACACUGACGCUGAGGUACGAAAGCAUGGGGAGCAAACAGGAUUAGAUACCCUGGUAGUCCAUGCCGUAAACGAUGUCUACUAGCCGUUGGUCUCUUUGAGGGAUUAGUGGCGCAGCUAACGCGAUAAGUAGACCGCCUGGGGAGUACGGUCGCAAGACUAAAACUCAAAUGAAUUGACGGGGGCCCGCACAAGCGGUGGAGCAUGUGGUUUAAUUCGAUGCAACGCGAAGAACCUUACCUGGUCUUGACAUAGUAAGAACUUUCCAGAGAUGGAUUGGUGCCUUCGGGAACUUACAUACAGGUGCUGCAUGGCUGUCGUCAGCUCGUGUCGUGAGAUGUUGGGUUAAGUCCCGCAACGAGCGCAACCCUUUUCCUUAUUUGCCAGCACUUUGGGUGGGAACUUUAAGGAUACUGCCAGUGACAAACUGGAGGAAGGCGGGGACGACGUCAAGUCAUCAUGGCCCUUACGACCAGGGCUACACACGUGCUACAAUGGUCGGUACAAAGGGUUGCUACCUAGCGAUAGGAUGCUAAUCUCAAAAAGCCGAUCGUAGUCCGGAUUGGAGUCUGCAACUCGACUCCAUGAAGUCUGAAUCGCUAGUAAUCGCGGAUCAGAAUGCCGCGGUGAAUACGUUCCCGGGCCUUGUACACACCGCCCGUCACACCAUGGGAGUUUGUUGCACC
rnacentral:rRNA from 1 species